GCACAAAAAGCAGAUGUUCUUUACUGCAGUAGGCCUUUCUUUGGGUACUCUAGGAAACAGGGACUUAAACAAAACAUUAAAUUGAAGAGGAUUCUGAGGAGCAAUCACUGCCAGCCACUGCCAGCCACAGAAAUCAUCUUUAGCUAUACAUUUUCUUCGCAUUUGUUUCCAAACUGUAAUUCUGCUCCAUGUUAAAAAAUAAAAAAAAAAAAAAAAGAAGAAAAAAUUAUUUGAUAUUUCACUCUCUCAGGGCAGCUUCUGAAUAAUUACAUGCAAAAUGAUCUAUUCUAUAUUUAUUGAAAACAGUAUUGCAGAGCACAAAUGUGCAUUUUAUUCAGAAAGGUCAUUUUUUAAAGACAUCCAUUGUAGCUGCUUCACUGACGUCCAGGGGUUUUGCCAUACACACGGCACAGAUUUUUUUGAUUAUGUAGAUUUUUUUUUUUCUCCCUAUUGCAGUUUCAUAUGCAAAGCAUGCAUCAGCCACAUCCAUGCUAUCUCCUAAAGCAGUCAUUCUGAAACCCAAUCUGGGGACAGUGCAGACUAAAUAAAAUUUCAUUUUGAUUUGGCCUCCCGCUGAGAAUGGGACUGCUUUGUUUCAGCAGACAGAACCAGCAAGCCAGAAAGGUGUUGAAUGCACAAAUACUGACUUAACGGAAAAUUAUGUUAAAAUGUGUUGUCAGAAUUGGCUGAUUAAAGAUAAAUGAAAAGCAGGGAGAGCUGUGGAGACCUCUGAGACGUGGGGGAUCUGGAAGGGUCAGGACAAAGGGUCAUUGUGGUGGAGGAAAUAUUUUUAUCUGGGCCUCAGGAAAUGGUGGUCUGGCUAGCGGCUGCGGUGGAGCGGAUGGUUACAUGAACAGUAUUUACGUGGGGCAAAGUAUGCUGCCACUUAUUAAUACCUGUCCCCAAAACUCUUGGGCUACAAGAACCAAUCAAUGUCAAUGCCCACCUGGAAAUCUCCAGUGAGGAAGGACUGUGGAAGCUACUACCCUGUAACGACCCUUUAAUCUGAAGCGAGGUUACCACAGAACUUCAGAGAUGGAAGUGCUUGAGAAUUCAAAGACACAUCCAGCACAGAUCCUUUUAACCACUGUUGUCAUUGCUCUGGGUCUUCAGCCCAAAUAAAAAGAAGGAAUAUUGUAGGGACCCCUAAGAUUUCAAAAUCUGACUUCAUACUGAGCAUGAAACACCUCUUAAAACAUGUUAUGGGUCCAGAAGGAUGUGUCUUUCAGUCUUUGAGAAGUAUUUAAACUACUCCGGUAGAUGAAGAAAAAGUCAGUUUCAAACUCAAGUUGAUAUGUCUGGGAUGCUACUCCCUGGAAGACAAGUCAUUGUUUGCAGCACUCCCAAGUAGUUUUACAUUUGCCCUCAUGAAUCUUUUGCAGAAAACUAAACAGAAGAAAAGUGACAUGAAAGCUACUUUCCCUACUUUGCUGGAGAAAUCUGCCUUUGUUCCUGAUAAAACUCCUAAAAUUUAAAGUGGAGCCUGCUGGAAAUCUGGAGGAGCGUCCAUCUGACUGAAGCAACCUGGAACCAAGCAAACCUAACAGCCAGUCUUCUAGUCUCUGGCCCCAUCUCCUCUCCCAGCCUUACUACCCACUUGAAAGGGCUGCAUUGAACAGGCAGAACUGCAUCACUAAAAAUAAAUCCCCAGCUUGUGUUAAUAACCUUCACCUGUCCACUUUCUCACAACCAGACCCCAAAAAUCAAAACCAAAGAUUUGGAUUUGGCUUGCUUGAUGCUGGACGAUUAAUGAAGGAAACCCUAACUGGACAAAUGUUGGUCUCCUGAGACAGUGUGUUGUUGAUAACAGAGCAAGCCUGCUAACUGCAAAUGUGAAGAGACGAAGCAAGCAAAAAGCAAAGAGAAGUGUGAAGAGCUUUGCUGCCAUAUUGUCUCUGACAGUGCAUCAGCUCCUAGUUUUAGGAUCAAUGAGUGAAUAGCUCCUUUUUUCCCUUUCCUUUCUUCCAAAACUCUCCUGAGCUGUUCCUGCAAGUGGUUCUGUGACUCGGAAGCUGACAACAGCCGCAUGCAAAGGAACAAAGAACGAGAGUGACAAUUCAGAGUGCACGCAGAUAGUCUUCCUUUGGUCACAAGAUGACAGUGAGAAUGGAUUGUCAAACUGGACCACUAUGACAGUUUACUCUGGGGGACAAAGUCCUGUGGGUGUUCAGAAGCUGUACUGUAACGACUGCUUGGUUUGCCACUGGACUGAGAUAGGAGGAGGUUGGUGAAGCAGCACAAGAAUAUGCAGCAGACAGAGGUUGGUGACUCUCCAGAAGGACGCACUGAAGGUGCCUGGUUCUGCUGACCCCAAUACAAGGUCCUUUCCCCGGGAGGAUUGAGGGUGAGGUGGCGUCCACCAGAGUGGAACAAAGAACACGAUCAGAGCACCUCUAAAGUGCUUUUCUUCAUUAAGACAAGACUGAAAGACAAGGAGGUGUGACCUAGUGAAGAAGCGUACUCUCACAAUGUGGCACUACACUGGCAACCAUGGCUGUCAGCAAAACAUCCCCCCUUAUGACUGUCAACACCCAAGUGAAGAUUCAGAGAGUCAGACCCACACUGUUCCCGCUCACGAUGACACCCUGGCAUCCGAAGAACAACAUGACACCCACCACAAAAUGCUGCUGUUGGCUGGCACCGUCUAAAGCGGUGAGGUUUGGUGAAGGAGGUGAGACUGCCAAAGGAAGGCAAGUGGGGCUGUCACAGGGAGUGGGACCUGGCCACCAGCAUGUUUCGAGUUUAUGGGACCUGUACAAACUGUGGAAAGGUAAACAUGGUGGGGAUGAAUGCUCCUUUCAUCCCACAUCCUUGAAAACUAGCUGUGGGUCACCUCUAACAGCUGGGGGGGCCUUUGUCAUUAUUUUCACACUACCUUUUAUUUGGGAUAUUCACACCUUUGUGGGUUUCACACAAAGAAGGGCAGGUUUUUUGGCAGAGAAUCCGUUUCCAUUUUUAAUCACAGUCAUCACACAAACAGUUCAUCUCACAGGAUGUGAAAACUUUGUCAUAGGCUUUAUUUAACAUCAUUUUGGGGGUUGCAAAAGACAAAGAAGAAUUUUUAAAUCAACAAUCGUCUUGCUUUCAAUAACUCGCGGGCUUUGUCUUUAGGUAGGCUGCAUUUCAGACAAACGUAGUUAACAGCAGCCGGCCAGACCUUACUGACUGACAACUGAUUCUUUACAGGAUUUCUAUGUGCCAAGGAGCUGGACAGUAAUAACCAUUUGGUAUUCAUGGAAAGUACUUGCAGAACAAUAAUGACAAUAAUUGCUUCUGAUUCUUGUGUUUACAACACUGCCAAAGUAUCAUUAGAGCCUUAUUUAUAGAUAAUAAUGCUUAUUAAUCACACAUAUUUGAAUUUUGGAAUGUAUUAGAUUAAUAUUCUUUUGUAACUUGGUUCAGUACUAAUGCUAUGAAAAGCACUUUCUGAAUGCAGCCCAUUGGGAAGUGCUCGCCUUGGAAAAGUAGGAGCAUCCAAGCCAUCUGCAGGUGAGGGACAAAGACCAUACCUCUUCCUUAGCAGGAAAACACCGGAGUCGGACACGCAAUUCCCAAAAGCAGCUCCUUUGGACUAGUAUCAGGGACAGACUCCUGAAAAAAAAUACCGUGAAAGGUGUGAUAGUAGUGUCAUGCUCGAGCUAGCUUUUCAAUGCUCUAUGAAAGGGUUUACUUUUUACUGCUUUAUUAAAUAAAAAAAAAAAAGGUGUUGGUGGAUGAGGAAGAGAUCCAUCUAUCAUCUCACCCUUCAGCGGCGCACUCUACCCUAUGGGUGAGUUUAGCCUGGACCUCAGGAUUCGUCAUCAGAUGAGAGGUCGUUAAUG